rnacentral:rRNA from 1 species
AACGAACGCUGGCGGCAUGCCUAACACAUGCAAGUCGAACGAGACCUUCGGGUCUAGUGGCGCACGGGUGCGUAACGCGUGGGAACCUGCCCUUAGGUUCGGAAUAACUCCCCGAAAGGGGUGCUAAUACCGGAUAAUGUCUUCGGACCAAAGAUUUAUCGCCUUUGGAUGGGCCCGCGUUGGAUUAGCUAGUUGGUAGGGUAAAAGCCUACCAAGGCGACGAUCCAUAGCUGGUCUGAGAGGAUGAUCAGCCACACUGGGACUGAGACACGGCCCAGACUCCUACGGGAGGCAGCAGUGGGGAAUAUUGGACAAUGGGGGAAAGCCUGAUCCAGCAAGGCCGCGUGAGUGAUGAAGGCCUUAGGGUUGUAAAGCUCUUUUACCCGGGAUGAUAAUGACAGUACCGGGAGAAUAAGCGCCGGCUAACUCCGUG